UUAAUUGUUCACUUAGAAAUCAGACCUUUAGCACUGUCAAAAGGCCACAGAUGAGCUCUCCUGUUUUUGGAGGAAAAUGAAGGUCAAUGGUGAAGCAAAAGCUAGAGCUCGAGGAGGACGAGGACAAAGACGAGGAUGAGGAAGGACAGUUGUCUCAGGUGAGAUCAGGACCACUUUGGUUGACCAUGUGUUCAAACAUACAUUGAGACUGGGCAGAGAGAUCAGUCCAACCUGAGCUGCUACACAGUUGCAUCAUCUGUACAUUCAGGAACUGAGAGACGACCAGACAAUGGUGGAAGACACUGGCUGUUCACACCAAAACCAGAGACCACUAUUGUGAACAGGGUGGUGGCAAACGAUACACAUAGACAAAUAAAAUAGAGAAAUCCAGAGUCACAUAAUUUUAGACAACACAAUACUCACUAACAUUCACCGGGUGGGCUUGUCUAUAUUGGACCAUGUAUGGACAGUGCAACCAAAUCCAUUUGAUGCCAUUUGAGCGAAACUCAGAGGAUUAAAGAACAGCGCUAAGAAUAUGUGCAAAGAGUCUUGGAGCUGCAUUCAGCACAUUUAUAUUUUUGAACUAGCCAAAAGAAAGGGAUGGGGAUAGAACAUUAUUGGCCAUUGUGAAUGUGCCUGGACAGCGUGGAGGGAAUAUCAGCAUGUGCACAGCUGUUAGCCAGCAAGGCAUCCUCCAUCACCAUGCCAACCUUAGUUCCUACAACACAUUUCUAGACACACUAUAUGUCAUCCUCAUUCCAGCUGAGCAGAGGGGUGGACCAGAGGUAUGUUGUCAUCUGGGACAACGUGAGUUUCCACUGGGCUGCUCUCGUACACAACUAGUUCAUCAACCACCCCACAAUUUACUCUAUACCUCCCACCAUAUUCCCCAUUCCUGAACCCAACUGAAGAGGUUUUUUUUUCAGCACAGCGAUGGAUGGACCGCCAUUCCCUCACAUGCAGGCCUCUUCUCCAGGAAAUGGAGGAUGCUUUCUUUCCCCGCUGUUUAGCCAGGGAGAACAUCGCUUGUGAUUUAGAUGAGGUGCUGUGGCCAGACCAAAAAAUAGGAGGCAGGAUGCAGCCUAAUUUCUUUUUUUCUUACAUUUUGCAUUUGUUUUUUGUCUUUUUGUGUUUAGAGUUUUCAAGAAAUGAGAGACAUUUAUUUAUUUCGUGUUCC